rnacentral:rRNA from 1 species
ACGAAGGGGGCUAGCGUUGCUCGGAAUUACUGGGCGUAAAGGGAGCGUAGGCGGAUAGUUUAGUCAGAGGUGAAAGCCCAGGGCUCAACCUUGGAAUUGCCUUUGAUACUGGCUAUCUUGAGUACGGGAGAGGUGUGUGGAACUCCGAGUGUAGAGGUGAAAUUCGUAGAUAUUCGGAAGAACACCAGUGGCGAAGGCGACACACUGGCCCGUUACUGACGCUGAGGCGCGAAAGCGUGGGGAGCAAACAGG